GCGGAUGAGAAGAGCUUGCUCUUCGAUUCAGCGGCGGACGGGUGAGUAAUGCCUAGGAAUCUGCCUGGUAGUGGGGGACAACGUUUCGAAAGGAACGCUAAUACCGCAUACGUCCUACGGGAGAAAGCAGGGGACCUUCGGGCCUUGCGCUAUCAGAUGAGCCUAGGUCGGAUUAGCUAGUUGGUGAGGUAAUGGCUCACCAAGGCGACGAUCCGUAACUGGUCUGAGAGGAUGAUCAGUCACACUGGAACUGAGACACGGUCCAGACUCCUACGGGAGGCAGCAGUGGGGAAUAUUGGACAAUGGGCGAAAGCCUGAUCCAGCCAUGCCGCGUGUGUGAAGAAGGUCUUCGGAUUGUAAAGCACUUUAAGUUGGGAGGAAGGGCAGUUUCCUAAUACGAAAUUGUUUUGACGUUACCGACAGAAUAAGCACCGGCUAACUCUGUGCCAGCAGCCGCGGUAAUACAGAGGGUGCAAGCGUUAAUCGGAAUUACUGGGCGUAAAGCGCGCGUAGGUG
rnacentral:rRNA from 1 species